rnacentral:tRNA from 1 species
GCGUCUGUAGCCUAGUUGGUUAAGGCAGCACUCUAGAUGCUGAGGUCAUGGGUUCGACUCCCAUCAGACACA